rnacentral:rRNA from 1 species
GCCCUUCACUACGGAAUAGCCUCGGGAAACUGAGAGUAAUACCGUAUACGCCCUUUGGGGAAAGAUUUAUCGCCUUUGGAUUAGCCCGCGUUGGAUUAGGUAGUUGGUGGGGUAAUGGCCUACCAAGCCUACGAUCCAUAGCUGGUUUGAGAGGAUGAUCAGCAACACUGGGACUGAGACACGGCCCAGACUCCUACGGGAGGCAGCAGUGGGGAAUCUUCGGCAAUGGGCGCAAGUGACCGAGCCAUGCCGCGUGGAUGAAGGCCUUAGGGUUGUAAAGCUCUUUCGCCAGGGAUGAUGAUGACAGUACCUGGUAAAGAAACCCCGGCUAACUCCGUGCCAGCAGCCGCGGUAAUACGGAGGGGGUUAGCGUUGUUCGGAAUUACUGGGCGUAAAGCGCGCGUAGGGGAUUGGAAAGUUAGAGGUGAAAUCCCGGGGUUCAACCCCGAACUGCCUUUAAAACUCCCAGUCUUGAGUUCGAGAGAGGUGAGUGGAACUCCGAGUGUAGAGGUGAAAUUCGUAGAUAUUCGGAAGAACACCAGUGGCGAAGGGGCUCACUGGCUCGAUACUGACGCUGAGGUGCGAAAGUGUGGGGAGCAAACAGGAUUAGAUACCCUGGUAGUCCACACCGUAAACGAUGAAUGCCAGUCGUCGGGUAGCAUGCUAUUCGGUGACACACCUAACGGAUUAAGCAUUCCGCCUGGGGAGUACGGUCGCAAGAUAAAAACUCAAAGGAAUUGACGGGGGCCCG